GGAUUGAAUACGUCCGAAAGGAGAUCUCCCGACCUCUUUACUUUCCGUUUCACAGUAAUUGCGGCUGUGAAAGUGUCAGGCUGUAGUCGAGCCUUUACUACGAAAGUAAAAUUAUUCACGGCGAGCCAUUCGAAGAAAGUACUUCGCGAAUGUCUACGAUUAUCAAUGAAUUUUCAACAAAUGGAAUUAUAAGAAGUACCAUUACCGUCUACACCAUCACCAGAAGACACGUCAAAGAGUCAUUAUAAUUGUCUAUCUAAUGAUUCCUUGGUGUUAUAAAUGGAGUUCUUUGAUCGAUGGUUGGGGGAAAAAAAGUUUGCUUUUUUAUUGGAAUCUCGGUACGCAAGACAUUUAUGACCAUGGCAACUGCUGAUUAGAAUAAUGGCACAUGGAUGAUCUGGUCACGAUCAAAAGUACAGGGUCUUCGGUUACGUGCGCUCCAACUUGGCUCGCCUUUUUUACAAUCCAUUUGAUAAUUUCGCAACGAUUUGAAUUUAUAAUAACGAAUAAAUGGAUAACUAAAUGUAAAGAAUAUAUUUAUGCUUGAAUAAUUGAGUGGGCAAUGUUCUUAAUAAUAAGCUCUGCUUUUUUUAUAUGCAAACGAAAUAGUACACGUCAACAUUCUAUUUUGUGAAAAGUCGGCUACCGUACUAAUGCUCUAAAUAAAAAACUUCAGUACAAAUCCAAG